rnacentral:lncRNA from 1 species
CCGCUGGAGGCGAGGUCUUCCCCAUCCGUCCCCAGUCUCGGCCGGAGCCGAUGUCGUCCCCAUCCGCUGCCGCCGAAGACGAGGUCUUCCCCAUCCGCAGCCGCCGCCACAGUCCACCGCUACCCACGAGGUCGUCCCCUUCCGCCGCCGUCGCGCACUGAACCGGAGGUGAGGUCUUCCCCAUUUGCUGCCGCCUCCGCCGCACUCAUCGCCUGUCUUCAUCGUGCGCAUCCCUGCCGUGCGCCAUGUUUAGUUGUCUUCACCCUCGACGCCCCGGAGCCGGACGCCCACUGCCCACCUCCACGCCACCGGACAACCUCCAUCCCUGCCGUCCUCCUCUCCAUCGUGUGCAACUUCUUCGUUAUCUACACGCCCGAGGAGAGAUGACUCCUACCGCGGAGGUUGAUGCACACCCGCCUUCUUUCUGUUGUGCCAGUAUUCUCAUCGAUGAAUGAUUUUACCACACAACAGCAAAGCUGUUGCCAUCUGCCGGCAUUAUCUCAGGUUUGCUUUUCCGCAUCCUUCUCUCCUUAUCAAUUUCUUUAUGUGCCCCUUGUCAGAUUGCAUUUACUUUCUCCUUCUCCUUUCUGCUAUCAAAUAGGAUCAAUGAAUUGUUCCGUGAAUGCUGAUCAUAUUAUGAGAAUUUUCCCCUAGCUAAAAAUAAAUUAAUGGAAUCUGUAGCAAUAUGCUAUAUGUUAAUCUUGAAUUUGUGAUAAUGUCAACAUUCAACCUUUCGACUAUGACCCUAUGUCACACUGAUUCAUUGUCUUAUCCGUUGAUUUCCAAAUUUGCUUGAUCGAUACAUGUUAGAAUGCAAUUCCAAUAGAUAUGAAAAUAACAAAAUUGAUAAAAUGUUUGAUUAUGCUAUGAAAAUUAUAUAAAAUGAAAAGCUCAAUUUUUAUGUAAAUCAUUGAUUCUGGGUACUUAAUCAACUACAAAAGGCAUUGCCCCAAAUCCCAAAUUUCAUAAUUUUAUCAGUUGGUCAUUUUUGCUUUUGAUCCUUUCACACGAUGACAGUACCUCUGAGGUAUUGUUUCACCUUCACCCUGAAUUUACAUGACAAAUCCUAAAUGAAAUUAUAAAUGCAGCUCUCAAUUUGGUUUACCUUUCACCCUGAAUUUGCAAGAUUCAAGUGCAGGAGCUGAAAAUUUCUCUUUCAGGGACCAAGAAGAAUACAAACUUAACAGUUAGGUAUAAUCAUAAGAUUAUAUAGUGUGUUUCAUUUUGUUAUCAUUAAACUGAUCCACAUGGUGUUCAAGUGAUUACACAAGUGUAUAGAUUGUUUUAAAAGUUGGGUUCGAUAGAUAUGUAGAAUUCCAUGCCGCCAUCGCUGAAGCCGCGCAGGCAAGCCUCAAUGUCUGCACCUAGGCCUUCAGCGGGUGCAGCUACUGUGUGCUGCGGAUGGUACCCUUCCAUUACAGUGAGGAGGUCUUCCAGAUCAGCUAUCACGGUGGUUCCUUGGUGUGCCCAUGGGCAGCACACCAACUGUUUGAUGAAAUGCAUGAUCGAGGUUUACAGGUACCUGUGGAUUGAGAGGGUCACUGGGUCAUCUUUUGAAGUUGGUUUGGAUGACCUGAAGCUAUCAGGUAGAUUGUGGUGUUCUUUUCCUCAAUUAUGUAGAGGGGAGUUCUUUUUCUGGUAUUGGAGUUCUUAUGAAAGCCACUGA